ACACGGACCACACCGUCACGACCGGAACCAGAACCAGAACGCGCUGGUUGUCAUGGAAACCCCUGAUCAACUGCUUUGUGAUUUUAGUUAUUGAAAAUGUGACCAAUAAUCAUCGGUUUUAACAUUUUAUUUUAUAAAUGGUACGACCCAGUACGACCCGGUACGGCCCGGUACGGCCCGGUAUCAUCAGGAGCAGUGAAUUAUUCAGGCAGAUUUUAUGAAACCUGUUCAUCAGUUGCUACUUUUUAAAAACACAAAACUUUUUUAAUUAAGAAUUUUAAUUCCAUUUUGUUUCAUUUUCUUAUCCUAAUAAAAAUGUUUUACAGUGUAAAAUAUUCUGUUCACCAGUAAAGUUUAAAGGAAUUGACUAAAUUAUUACAAUUUGAUCAUUAUUUUGUACUUUAUUAGAUGAAACUCUUUACAUAUCUAAUGUUGCCCAAAAAAUGUAAUAAACAUUUAUUACAGAAAGUAAUAAAUAUAUUAAAUAUUCAGAAAGUAAUAAAUAUGUUAAAUAUUCAGAAAGUAAUAAAUAUGUUCAAGUUGAUAUGAAAAUAUCUUCAGAAAAGUUUCACAUCUUUAAUCAGUUUCUUUUUGCACCAAAAUCUCAAAGUCUAAAAUAAUUUUCUCCCAAAAUAAAUAAUAUUUUAAAUUCUCUCUCCUUUAUCGGCACAACGAUAAAUAAAACAUUUAAUGAAACAAACAAUAAUCUGAUGUUUUUCCUCAAACUGUUUCUGUUUAGCUCAGGAUGAAGGACGGACGGUUCUGAAGGUUCUGAUGGUUCUGAUGGAUGUUUGAGGUAAAUCUUAUUAUGAAAUAACUUUAAUAAACUUAAUAACUUUAAUGAACUGAACCAAACUGGUUCCCUCUCAUCUCUCGUCCCUGAUCCAGUCUGCUGAUUCUGGUUCUAGGUUCUGGUUCUGGUUCUGGUUCUCUCUGUGUGUAUUCUGCUGACUUGGCGUUUCCCUCUUAUCUCUCGUCCCUGAUCCGGUCCGCCGGAUCGCCCUGCCAAUGA